UUCUGACUGUCAGCAAGAAAGAAACAAGAGAGCAUGUGAAUGAAAGGCAGACCUGGGAAAGGCAAGAAGAAAGUUUUGUUGGUCUGUAGUGCAGGGGAUAGAAGAGCUGCUGCUUUCGAAGCAAGUGUGUGUAAGAGAGUCCUGCCAGGAUAAAGGUGGAGAUUGAUGGAGGGAGGAUGACUUAGAGUGUGCAGUGAGGGUUAAUGGAAAUCUCUGCUCAUUGCUGAAAGGGGCUGGGAAUUUUGUGGGUCCUCAGGAAGGUGGACUUCUCUGUGGGAGCUCCCAUCCUCAGAGUUGGGUUAUAUAUUGCCUUGUGAAGUGGAUCAGGACACCAAACCAAUCAAACCUACAUGGGACUUCGCUGCUGGACUGAACCCAGAUUUUGUGAGCCACCGGCACUUUGGAUCUCAUUAGAAAGCAAAUGCCAGAAGGAAAAGCCACCUCAGCAUACUUUAAUACUAAUAAGAGAAACUAAGGAGCCAGGUUUGGGUUUUGGAAAAGCUCUGUGACCACUGGCAUUGUAAUCACUUCCCUUGGAUUGAAGAUACAGGGGAAACUACCUGUAGGAGGAAAAGUCCAAGAGUGAUAAAUCUGCUCUUCCAGCGAACCCCAGCAAGAAUCAUCGUGUGUUCCCAUAGUGUUGUUCUUUGUCAGCAAAGGAGAAACUGGCAAAGUCAGGAAGUAAUCAUGAGCAUUUUUCUUUGAGGAAGGGACGCUUGCCAGCCUCUCACUUGGGAAGGCUGUAAAACUUUCUAGGCACCCACCAGAGCCACCCUGGGAAGGGAAAGGAGCAGCAGCAAUGGAGCUACACGUGUUGGUGCUAUCAUUCAUUCUCACCCUGCCAGUGCCUUCGUUCACCUAUAGGAACAAACUACAGCCCCUUAUGCCAAACGUUUGUGCGGAGCAAGAGCUGGUGAUAGUGGGGCACAGGCAGCCGUGUGUCCAAGCAUUCACUCGGAUGGUCAAAGUGUGGAAACAGGGCUGUGGAGGACAGCUGUGGUGCACAGGCUAUGAACGGAGAACAGCCUAUUACACAGACUACAGGCAGGUGUACAGCAUGGAAUACCAGACUGUGUACAAGUGCUGCCCAGGAUGGUCCCAGCUUGGAGGGGAUGCCGGCUGUCUUUACUCUGUCUGCAAUUAUGGAGUUUGUUUCAAUGGAGGAAACUGCAUGGAAGGAUCUUCUCAGCUCUGUCGCUGCCCUUCUGGUUUCCAGGGACCCCGCUGUCAGUAUGAUGUCAAUGAAUGCGAAGCCAGCAACGGUGGUUGUGAGUCCCAGUGCUGCAAUACGAUUGGGAGCUUCUACUGCAAGUGCCCCGAUGGGCUGAGGCUGAAGGGAGACGGGAAGGCAUGUGAAGAUGUUGACGAGUGCCAAGUUCACAAUGGGGGCUGCCAGCACAGAUGUGUGAACACCCUGGGAUCCUAUUACUGUGAGUGCAAGCCAGGCUUUCGCCUGCACACUGAUGGCAGGACCUGCCUUGCUGUGAACACCUGUGCCGUCAGCAAUGGUGGAUGCGAACACGAUUGCGUGCAGCUGACCCUAACACAGCAUCAGUGCCGGUGCCGGCACAAUUACCACCUGAAGGAGGAUGGCAAGCACUGUGUCCUGAGGAAUCCGUGUGCCAAUAGGAAUGGAGGCUGCAUGCACCAGUGCCAAAAUCUCCGUGGAACAGUGCACUGUGAGUGCCACCCUGGCUACAGACUGGCAGCUGACAGCAAGGCCUGCGAAGACGUAGAUGAAUGUGCGACUGGGCUGGCCGUGUGUGCACACAGCUGUCUCAACACCCGCGGCUCCUUUAAAUGCACUUGCAAUCCUGGGUAUGAGCUGGGGGAAGAUGGCAAGCAGUGCUACAGGAUAGAGAUGGAGAUUGUGAAUAGCUGUGAGGCCAAUGGUGGCUGUUCCCAUGUAUGCCAUCACACCAGCUCUGGCCCUGUCUGCUCCUGUAAUUUUGGCUACCAGCUUGAUGAGGACCAGAAAACCUGCAUUGAUAUCGAUGACUGUGACGCUCGUUCUCAUUGCUGUCAGCAGGACUGUUACAAUUAUCCUGGCGGCUACGAAUGUGUUUGCUAUGCUGGAUACAGGCUCAACACCGACGGUUGUGGGUGUGAUGAUGUGGAUGAGUGCUCCUCAAAUAACGGUGAGUGUGAGCACACGUGCCAGAAUCUGGUGGGGUCCUUCCAGUGCAGCUGCCAGAUUGGAUACAAACUAGAUGAAGACCGGAGGAGCUGUAUUCCUCUGGAUGACCCCAUGGAGGCCCUUGACGGACAACGCCCCAUCAUACGCCCUAUUCCUCACGUUGCCAUCCUGCGUGAUGAGUUCACCCAGCUCUUUGAUGAGGAGUAUGAGGAGGAGGAGGAAGAGGUGGAAGCAAGAGGAGAGCACACACUUUCGGAAAAAUUUGUCUGCUUGGAGGACACCUUUGGUCAUGACUGCAGCCUGACAUGUGAUGAUUGCAGAAAUGGUGGAACAUGCAAUGAAGACCAGACUGGCUGUGACUGUCCGGAGGGCUGGAGUGGAGUCCUAUGCAAUCAGACCUGUCCCGAAGGCACCUUUGGGAGGAACUGCAGCUUCACCUGCCACUGUAAGAAUGGAGGCACGUGUGAUCCAGUGACUGGGAAGUGCCGCUGCCCGCCUGGGGUCAGUGGAGAACUGUGUGAGGAUGGCUGCCCUAAGGGAUUCUUUGGGAAACAAUGCAGGAAGAAAUGCAACUGUGCCAACAGAGGUCGGUGCCAUCGAAUUUACGGGGCCUGUUUGUGUGACCCUGGACUUUACGGACGAUACUGCCAUUUAGCCUGCCCGAAGUGGGCCUAUGGGCCCGGGUGCUCCGAAGAAUGCCUGUGUGUGCAGCAGAAUACCCAGGCGUGUGACAAGAAGGACGGCUCCUGCAGAUGCAAACCUGGUUAUCAUGGCAAAAGGUGUCAGACAAAGUGUGACUCUGGCUAUUACGGUGGUGGCUGCAAGAACAAAUGUAGUUGCCCCCUGGGAGUUUCCUGUGACCACGUGAGCGGAGAGUGUCAGAAAGAGUGUCCCGAAGGUUACCAUGGGGAGAACUGCGACCAAGAGUGCCCAGAAGGGACAUUUGGAGUUAACUGUUUACAAUCCUGUUCCUGUGGCAGCUCCCCCUGCGACCGGCUCACUGGGAAGUGCAUCUGUUUGCCGGGUAGAACAGGACUUGACUGUGGCCGAGCUUGCCCCGCUGGCCGCUGGGGAGUGGGCUGCCAGGAGAUCUGCCUGGAGUGUGAGAACGACGCCAGCUGUGACCCGGCCACGGGUGCCUGCCUGUGUCCACCUGGAUAUGUUGGCGGCCGCUGCCAGGAUGUGUGUCCAGCUGGCUGGUUUGGGCCAGGCUGCCAGAUGAGAUGUAGCUGUGGGAAUGACGGGCACUGUCACCCGGUGACAGGGAAAUGUAGCUGUGCUCCUGGCUGGACUGGGGAUAACUGCAGGAGAGCCUGUGACGCUGGCCACUGGGGCCCCGAUUGUGCUAACACUUGCAACUGCAGCAACAGUGACGGCAGCUGCAAUAUGAGGACAGGACAGUGCAUUUGUGAAGCUGGCUCCACGGGACUCCAUUGUGAUCAGAAGUGUCCAGAAGGAUGGUUUGGGCUAAGCUGCCGACACCGGUGUCAGUGCGACAAUGGAGCCGUCUGUGACCAUGUCAGUGGGGCGUGCACUUGCAGCCCUGGCUGGAGCGGGACGUUCUGUGAGCGUGCCUGUCCCGAUGGAUUUUAUGGCCUGGAGUGUCAGAAAACCUGCACGUGUCUGAAUGGAGCCCGCUGUGAUCAUGUGACAGGGCGCUGCAUCUGUCCCGCCGGCUGGAUUGGCCUUCACUGUAACCAGACUUGUGAGGCUCACUGGUAUGGAGAGAAUUGCAGUCAGGCAUGCAGCUGCUUUAAUGAUGCCACCUGUGACCAUGUUAGUGGACAGUGUCUCUGUGCGGCUGGAUGGACAGGCGCCACAUGCCAGCAAGCGUGUCCAUAUGGUUUCUAUGGCAUGAACUGUCACCAGCACUGCCUCUGUCGGAAUGGCGGAACGUGUGACCCCGUCACGGGGCACUGCACGUGCCUAGGAGGAUGGACUGGAUUGGCUUGUGAGCUGGAAUGUGCACAAGGACGGUAUGGUGUGGAUUGCAAGCAAGCCUGCGACUGCCAGAACAGGGGGCUGUGUGACCAUCAGACAGGCCACUGCAUCUGCCGGGCUGGCUGGACUGGGCAGCAGUGCCAAAGCGCUUGCCCGGAGGGUACAUUCGGAGAGCACUGUGCAGAGCAGUGCGCCUGUGGGGAUGGAGUCUCGUGUCAUCACAUCACUGGCGCCUGCGACUGCCCCACGGGCUGGAGGGGCCAGCGUUGUGAGAAAGCCUGCCUGCUUGGUUCAUUUGGGAAGGACUGUGCCAGCCGCUGCGACUGCCCCCCAGGAACGCCUUGUAACCAUGUCACUGGCCAGUGUGGCUGCCCGCCAGGAUUUAUGGGCCAUGGAUGUGAACAAUCCUGUCUACCAGGGACCUUUGGGCUGAACUGUGCUCAGGCUUGCCAGUGUCCAGAAGUGAACCAAGACUGUCACCCUGUCACUGGGGCGUGUAUCUGUGCACCUGGUUACCAUGGAAGAAAUUGCCAGCUAAGAUGUUCAGCUGGUUCGUAUGGCCCCAAUUGUGAGCAGCAGUGUAAGUGCAGGAAUGGAGGACGCUGUGAGACCACCACAGGGACAUGUCAGUGUCCCGCUGGGUACGUCGGCGCUGACUGCAGUAUCGGCUGCCCUAUUGGUCGCUAUGGCAAGGACUGCAUGCACCUGUGUUCCUGUGGAGAAGGAGCCACCUGUCACCAUGUGACAGGCAUCUGCAUUUGUCCAGCAGGAAGAACUGGUGCCAGCUGUGAACACGUCUGCCAGAAAACCAGUACGGGGCAGGCUGCAAGCAGACGUGUUCCUGCCAGAAUGGAGGAAUCUGUCAUGCGGCCGACGGCUCCUGUUCGUGUGGGCUUGGGCGGACCGGGAAAUUCUGCGAACUGGAAUGCCCACCCGGGAAGUACGGCGCCAACUGCCAGCUGAACUGUGCAUGCCGGAAUAAUGGGACUUGUGACCCAGUGACGGGAGCCUGCCACUGUCGCAGAGGGCACUAUGGGCACUUAUGCGAGCACACCUGCCCUCCAGGUUUCCAUGGACUGCGUUGUCAGGAGUUGUGUGAUUGUCAGAAUGGAGCAACUUGUGACCCAGUGACCGGUCAGUGUCUGUGUCCUGCUGGCUUCCACAAAGACCGCUGUCAGACAGGCUGCGAGGAGGGGCGGUACGGAGAGCGUUGCCAGCAGUUGUGUGACUGUGAAGGAAACGCACCAUGUGAUCCAGUCACUGGGCGCUGCCUGUGUCCGCCAGGAAAAACUGGCACCAAGUGUGACCUGGACUGCCGCAUGGAUCAAUUUGGCCCAGAUUGCACCCUGACCUGUGACUGUGCCUCUGUCAACUCUUUCUGCAACGCUCAGAAUGGCCAGUGCACUUGCAUUAAUGGGUACAUAGGACCUACCUGUCAAGAAGCUGUGGCAGCUAGAAUAUCCUACCUGUUCUCUCCCAGGAGAGUUUUCCAGCCUGUGAAACAUUAGGUCAUACAGCCACCCUGUUGGAGGAAAACAAGAGUCAGCUUGUAAACAAGCCCCUGGUCCUUCUGCAGAAUCUGUCUUAGCUCACACUAACCACACAGGAAUUCUUUUGGUGACUGAAUACUGGGCCUAAGAGGUUUGAGGCUAUUGUACACAGCUCACCCCUGCAAGCAGACUGUGAACCAGUGUGUAAAAAGCCACACACCUGGAAGAAAUGCUGUUGGAAUUCCAUGCUCAAUAGAGGAUCACAAACUUUGGGAAGCAUUUCAUUUUUACUCUAUAAUAGAGAUGCAGUCGUUCAAAUGUGGUUUUUCACCAGGGGGCAAUUAUUGGACUCCUGUGGCUCAUCCUCUAAUUUUUUUUUUAUUGUGGGCCUGGAAUUUUAAUCAAAAUACAUAUUUAUGUAAAGAUGUACAAAUGUGUUUUCAUGCUUGGUAGCCAAAGAUCCCUGGCACCACUGUGUGGACGUGCUGCAUCACUUGAUUUUUGAACUUGUGAGCAGUCUUUCAUUGUAGUUUACCAUUGGCCACGGUGCUGUAAUAAAAUAAACAUUUGAUAAGUUAAAAGCACUCACAUUUAAGUUCCAAAAUGUACUGUAAGUCCUGGUUCCAUAGAGGAGCAUUUGAUACUCGUGGGUGACAAGGACUCUGGGGAUUGUGCAAACUUUGUUCAACUAAUGAGACUUGACUUACACGUGAGUGCUUCUUCCAGCAUCACAUGAAAUGCAAUCUGGUUUGUAGUAGUAUGUAUAUCAAAUAAUGGUUGGUUGUAGCAUAGUAGAUCAGACUCAGUAUUUGUAACCUCAUCUUUCAUCAAAUGAGCAAUGCGUCUUUGCAAAUAAACUUGGUCAGGACCCAAAGAGCUGAGAUACUAACCCGUUUAUCCUUGAGAUGUUUAAAGGCAAGUUUGUUUAAGGUGUUUUGCACUCUGUUCCACUGCACAAACUUAAUAUGUUACACCCUCCCUCGCCACAGCUGGGUACAAGAAACUUUGUUGCUUUAAAAGAUUAAUUUAGCUGCUCAUUUGAUGAAAAGUUAUUUAUUUAUAUAUGUUCUACUUUGUACUCCUUUUGAACUGAUGAUUGCUAGAACACAGUAUUAUGUCAAAAACAAAGUGGUACCUGGUUUGGAUUAUAAUAAAAGCUAAAGGGAA